rnacentral:rRNA from 1 species
AUGGUGGCUGUGGCGAAAGAGCAAGUGGACACAAUUUACAAAGAGGCAGACAUGUAUUCGUUGAACCCAAUCGAGUUACAAAUGCGAGGGAUAUACACACAAAAUCUGUUCUCCAAGUUCCAGGUAGAGAUGAAGCUAAAGACUGCUUACGGAUGUGACACUUUGCAAGAUGGAACAUUCAGGAUGUGGUCGCUCCGAGGCAUACUACCAAAGUAUGGGGAUAGGGACUACCAUGUGCAGGCGAACAAGGAUGAAGGGGUAUACUCAUGCACUUGCUGCAAAUUUGAUCGCGAUGGGCUAUUAUGUGCACACAUACUACGAGUAAUG